CACUCAGCAAACACGCAAGAUUAGAAGUACAAUAUCAACUUCCGUCUACCAGUUUUCGAGGAGGUUGAAGAAAGAAAUAGCUGUCACCAUGCGAGGUUUAGCGCAAUUACAGUUAAUAGCACGCAGAGGGUUGGCAACAAAAGCAGCAAAAGCGAAGCCAGCUGGAACAUACCCUGCAGCUGAAGGUUACAAACACAUACAGCAACUUCAGAAUGUAUUUCUUAAGGAGGAUGGUUUAUUAGUAUGGCAGAAGCGUGGACCAACAGAUACAGUGAUGUACCAUAUAUCGAUGGGGAUUAUGUUACUCGGUUGUAUUCCAGCUGCUCUAGUAAUCUAUAAAUUGUCUUUUCCUCAAAAGAAAUAACUGGAUGUGUACGGGGUGAAAUGGAAGACUUUAAUUUUGAUUUGUGUAAACUAGAAGAAAACAAAAACACUGUGAAACUUGUUGAAUUAAACAUGAUAGUAACAAGAGAAAACAUACUUUAACAUUUUA